GCCGUUCGCCAGGGGUCUCCGGCCGGCACAUGCCGAACGGAGUGAGACAUACCCUUCGAACCUGAUGCGGUUGAGACCGCCGUAGGGAGGCUGACCGGCCUCCCU
rnacentral:ncRNA from 2 species